GCGCUCACUCCGGCAGCACGUAUACUAAAAUUGGAACGAUACAGAGAUUAGCACGGCCCCUGUGCAAGGAUGACACACAAAUUCAUGAAGCGUUUCGUAUUUAA